GACGAACGCUGGCGGCGUGCUUAACACAUGCAAGUCGAACGGAAAGGCCCUGCUUUUGUGGGGUGCCCGAGUGGCGAACGGGUGAGUAACACGUGAGUAACCUGCCCUUGACUUUGGGAUAACUUCAGGAAACUGGGGCCAAUACCGGAUAGGAGCUCCUGCUGCAUGGUGGGGGUUGGAAAGUUUCGGCGGUUGGGGAUGGACUCGCGGCUUAUCAGCUUGUUGGUGGGGUAGUGGCUUACCAAGGCUUUGACGGGUAGCCGGCCUGAGAGGGUGACCGGCCACAUUGGGACUGAGAUACGGCCCAGACUCCUACGGGAGGCAGCAGUGGGGAAUAUUGCACAAUGGGCGGAAGCCUGAUGCAGCAACGCCGCGUGCGGGAUGACGGCCUUCGGGUUGUAAACCGCUUUCGCCUGUGACGAAGCGUGAGUGACGGUAAUGGGUAAAGAAGCACCGGCUAACUACGUG
rnacentral:rRNA from 1 species